UGAGGAAAAAUUAAUAUUUUUCCAGCAUAAAUAUAGGAAUUAUUUUCGCGCAUCUGUAGCAUCGAAAUCAUGAUUAUAUCAUCGAUAAUAAUAAUUCAAACCCUGUUUUAUUAUAAAAAUCGGCGUUCGUUGCGUUGUCUCAAGCGUUUUCCAUUCGCAGCGUGGGCGAAGCACGAUAAAAGCGUACCCUGCCGAAAUCUCGCGGUCGCAGUUUCUCUGUCGUCUCGUUGACCAAAGGAGUCCCGAGGCAGAACCAGGAUUCGAGCAAAGGACGUUUGUGUAACAGGAAGAAAUUAAACAUUUGACUGACAUUCACGAUAUAAAGCUGCUUUGGACGAUUGCAUUAAUGAAAGGACUAAUUAACAAGGACACGAGGAUAGAUAAAGUACGAAGUGGUCGAAUACAUGCAGUCAAUGCCAUACCGACAAGCUCGAGAAUCUAGCAGGCUGAAAAGUAAUCAGCGUCUCUCUUCUGAUGAAGCUGAGUCAUCUCCAAGGGAUCAAGAUGCAGCUGCACAGAAGAGCACCGCGAAUGAGUAGAUUUUUCAUGAUUCUGUAAUGAAACGCCUUUGAAUUAGAUAACAUUAUAAAUAUUAAUUGACAACAAAUUUAUUUUAUACAAGUUUUAAAUUAUUUUACAUAUUUCUGUAUUUGUAUUUUAAAUAUUUAAUAUUUUAAAUGUAUUUAAAAAAUACAUUCUGUAUCUCCACUGUU